GCGAGUCCUCAACUGACGCUAAUGCUCGAAAGUGCGGGUAUCGAACAGGAUUAGAUACCCUGGUAGUCCGCACGGUAAACGAUGGAUGCCCGCUGUUGGCGAUACAAUGUCAGCGGCCAAGCGAAAGCGUUAAGCAUCCCACCUGGGGAGUACGCCGGCAACGGUGAAACUCAAAGGAAUUGACGGGGGCCCGCACAAGCGGAGGAACAUGUGGUUUAAUUCGAUGAUACGCGAGGAACCUUACCCGGGCUUGAACUGCAGCAGAACGAUAGAGAGAUCUUGAGGCCCUUCGGGGCUGCUGUGGAGGUGCUGCAUGGUUGUCGUCAGCUCGUGCCGUGAGGUGUCGGCUUAAGUGCCAUAACGAGCGCAACCCCUUUCAUCAGUUGCCAUCAGGUGAUGCUGGGCACUCUGGUGAUACUGCCACCGUAAGGUGUGAGGAAGGUGGGGAUGACGUCAAAUCAGCACGGCCCUUACGUCCGGGGCUACACACGUGUUACAAUGGGUGGUACAGAGAGUCAACCGCCGGCAACGUCGGUUUAAUCAAUAAAGCCAUCCUCAGUUCGGAUUGGGGUCUGCAACCCGACCCCAUGAAGCUGGAUUC
rnacentral:rRNA from 1 species